UGUGGGAGCGAGCCUGCUCGCGAUAGCGGUGUAUCAGGCGCCAUCGAUAUUGUCUGACCUGACGCUAUCGCGAGCAGGCUCGCUCCCACA
rnacentral:misc_RNA from 1 species